rnacentral:rRNA from 1 species
GUGCCAGCAGCCGCGGUAAGACGAACCGUGCGAACGUUGUUCGGAAUCACUGGGCUUAAAGGGCGCGUAGGCGGGCUGCCAAGUCCGGGGUGAAAUCUUUCGGCCCAACCGGAAAAGUGCCUUGGAUACUGGCGGCCUGGAGGGAGGCAGGGGCGGAUGGAACUUCCGGUGGAGCGGUGAAAUGCGUUGAUAUCGGAAGGAACGCCGGUGGCGAAAGCGAUCCGCUGGACCUCUUCUGACGCUGAGGCGCGAAAGCCAGGGGAGCAAACGGGAUUAGAUACCCUCGUAGUCC